rnacentral:rRNA from 1 species
GCUUGUCUCAAAGAUUAAGCCAUGCAUGUCUAAGUAUAAAUGGUAUACAGUGAAACUGCGAAUGGCUCAUUAAAACAGUUAUAGUUUAUUUGGUAUUCGAAUUUACAUGGAUAACCGUGGUAAUUCUAGAGCUAAUACAUGCGUCAACACCCGACUUCUGGAAGGGUGGUAUUUAUUAGAUAAAAAACCAACCCGGGCAACCGGUUUUUUGGUGAUUCAUAAUAACUUGUUCGGAGCUCAUGGCCUUGUGCCGGAGCCAGGUCAUUCAAAUUUCUGCCCUAUCAGCUUUCGAUGGUAGUGUAGUGGACUACCAUGGCUUUAACGGGUGACGGAGAAUUAGGGUUCGAUUCCGGAGAGGGAGCCUGAGAAACGGCUACCACAUCCAAGGAAGGCAGCAGG